GAGUGUAGGCCAAUCCCAGCAACCAUACUUCAACCACUCUUACACUACUGAGUGUUCAAACUGUGCUCAACUAAGAUGGUGUCAGAAGUAGGAUCUGAAGAAGAGACUUAACAAUCCCCAGGAGUGCUGAGUGAACAAGCAAGGUACCUGCAAGGACCUACUUUUGUCCCUUGAUCUCUCAAAGUGGCUGGGGAUCAUGGAUGGAUACAUGUGACCAAGCAUUGCAAGUUAAAGAUAUUUCUGAAUCUUGGACCUCUUAUUUACAGUGAAGCCCCCUCAUGCAUAGUAAAGCAGAGAGGAAUGUAAAAGGUUGCUGCAUGGAUAAUCAAUUUCUGAUGGAGUCUCACUCUGUUGCCCAAGCUGGAGUGCAACAGCAUGAUCUUGGCUUACUGCAACCUCUGCCUCCCGGGUUCAAGCGAUUCUGCUGCCUCAGCCUCCUGAAUAGCUGGAAUUACAGGCACCCACCACCAUACCCAGCUAAUUUUUUGUAUUUUUAGUAGAGACGGGGUUUCACCGUGUUAGCCAGGAUGGUCUUAAUCUGCUGACCUCUUGAUCCACCCACCUUGCCCUCCCAAAGUGCUUAGAUUACUGGCAUGAGCCAUUGCACCAGGUCUUAUUUAUCUUUUUGAGACAGGUUUUAGCUCUGUCACUCAGGCUGGAGUGCAGUGGUGCAAUGAUGGCUCAAUGCAGCACCAACCUCCAGGGCUCAAGUAACCCUCCCACCUCAGCUUCCUGAGUAGCUGGGACCACAAGCGUGUGUCACCAUACCUGACACAUUUCUUAGACCUCAGAAAAGAUGCUCAACACCAUAAGUCACUAGGAAUAUUCAGUAUUCAAAUAGAGGCUUCAAUGGGCUCCGAACUAUCCCCUCCUGAACUCUAUAAAAAGCGUGUUUCCAACCGGCUGAAUGAAAACAAAGGUUUACAUCUGUGAGAUGAAUUCACACAUCAGAAAGCAUUUUCACCAAGAACUUUUCUAGUUUUAUAGCAAGAUGUUCAUUUUUUCAAUAUUGGUCUCAAUGGGCUCCAAAAUGUCCCUUUGUACAGUCUACAAAAAUUUUUGCCAAAGUACUGAAUCAAAACAAAUGUUUAACACUGUGAGAUGAAUUUUCAAGUCACCAAACAUUUUUACAGAUAGUUUGUAUCUACUUUUUAAUCACAAAACUUAGAAUUGUUCACUAUAAGCCUCAAAGGGCUCUAAAUUGUCCCCCUUAGCUUCUACUAAAAGAGAGUUUUGAACCUAGUGUGUAGAAACAAAAGUUUAAGUCUGUGAAAUAAAUCCCCACAUUGCAAAGCUAUUUCACAGAUAGCUUGCUUCUAGUUUUUAUCAUGAAUUAUUCAACUUUUCACUACAGGCCUCAAUGGGCUCUGAAAUGUCCCUUCAUACAUUCUACAAAAAGAGUGUUUCCAACUUAGCUGAAUCAAAAGGAAGUUUAAACUGUAUGAGAUGAAACCGCAAAUUGCAAAGCAUUUUCACAUAUAGCUUCUAUAGUUUCUAUCAUAUAAUAUUCAGUUUUUCACUGUAGGCCUCCAUGGGCUAUGAAAUGUCCCCUCAUAGGUUCUACAGAAAGGUGUUUCCAACAUGCUGAAUGAAAACAAAGAUUUAACUUUGUGAGAUGAACCCACACAUCACAAAACAUUUUUAUGGAUGGAUUUUCUCUAGUUUUUAUUGCAGAAUAUUUGAUUUCAUGCUGUAGGUCUCAAUUUUCUCCAAAAUUUCCCCUUGUAGAUUCUACAAAAAGAAUAUUUCCAAUCUGCUGAAUCAAAACCGAUGUUCAAUUCUGUGAGAUGAUAUGCAAAGCUUUUUCACAGAUAGCCUGUUUCUAGUUUUUAUUGUGGGAUAUUUGGUUUUUCACUAUAAGCAUCAGUGGGCUCUGAAAUUGUCCCUUUGUAGAUUCUACAAAAAGAGGGUUUCCAACCUGUUGAAUCAAAAUAAAGUUUUAACUUUGUAAGAUGAACCCACACAUCGCAAAGCAUUUUCACCCAUAGCUUGUUUCUAAUUUUUACCAUGGGUUAUUGGUUUUUCACUAAAUGCCUCAGUGGACUAGGAAUUGUUGCCUUGUAGAUUGUACAACCAAAGAGUUUCCAACCUGCUGAAGCAAAACACAGGUUUAACUUUGUAAGAUGAAUCUACACAUUGCAAAGCAUUUUUACAGAUAGGUUGCUUUGAGUUUUUAUCAAGAGAUAUUUGAUUUUUCACAGUAUGCUUCAAUGGGUUAUGAAAUCUCCCCUUGUAGAUUCUACAAAAAAAGUUUCCAAACUGAUGAAUCAAAAGAAAAGUUCAACUUGUGAGAUGAAAUCACACAUUACAAAGUAUUUUCAGAAAUAGCUUCUUUAUAGUAUUUCUCGCAGGAUAUUAGAUUUUCCAAUAUUAGCCUCAACGAGCUCUGAAAUGUCCCUUUGUAGAUUGUACAAAAUGAGUGUUUCCAACCUAUGGAAUAAAAAGGAAGGUUUAACUCUGUGAGAUAAAUCCACACAUCACAAAGCAUCUUCACAGAUGGCUUGUUUCUAAUUUUUAUUGUGGGAUAUUCGGUUUUUCACUAAAGGCCUCAAGCACUCCGAAAUGUCCUUUUGUAGAUUCUAUAACAAGAGUGUUUUAAAACUGCUGAAUCAAAACAAACGUGUAACUCUUUGAGAGGAACCCACACAUCACAAAGCAUAUUUUCAGAUCACUUGUUUCUAGUUUUUAAAGCAUGAUAUUCGGUUUUUCACUAUAUGCCUCAUCAGACUCAGAAAUGUCUCAUAGUAGAUUUUACAAAAACAGUGUUUCCUACCUGCUGAAUCAAAACAACAGUUUAAAUCUGUGAGAUGACUCCAAACCUCGCAAAGCAUUUUCACAGAUAGUUUUUUCCUAGUUUUUUUCGCAGGAUAUUUGGUUUUUCAGUAUAGGCCUCAAUGAACUCUGAAAUGUCCAUUCAUAGGUUCUAUAAAAGUGUGUUCCCAACUCCCUGUAUAAUAGCAAAGGUUUAACUCUGUGAAAUGAAUCUAUACAUUGGAAAACAUUUUCACAAAUAGCUUGUUCCUAGCUUUUAUGAUGAGACAUUUGAUUUUUUACUAUUGGCCUCAAUGGGUUCAGAAAUGUCUCUUUGCAGAUUCUACAAAAAAAAAAGUUUUUCAUUUUUCUGAACAAAAAUAAAGGUUUAACUCUUUGAUAUGAAAUCAGACAUCACAAAGAAUUUUCACACAUAGCUUGUUUCUAGGGUUCAUCACUGGAUAUUGUGUUUUUCAUUAUAGGCUUCAAAGGAGUCUUAAUUGUAACUUCCUAAUUCUACAAAAAGAGUGUCCCCCAACCUGCUGUAUGUAAAUAAAGGUUUACCUCUGUGAGAUAAAUCUUCACAUUGCAAAGCAUUUUCCCCGAUAGCUUGUUUCUAGUUUUUAUAUCGGGAUAUUGAUUUUUCACUAUAGGCUUCAAUGGGCUUUGAAAGAUUCCUCUGUAGAUUGUACAAAAAGAGUGUUUUAACCUGCUGAAUCAAAACAACGUUUAACUUUUUGAGAUACAUCCACACAUCACAAAGUAUUUUCACGGAUAGGUUUUUAUUUUAUUUUAUUUUAUUUUUUUUAGAUGGAGUCUCACUCAGUCACCCAGGCUGGAGUGCAGUGGCACGAUCUUGGCUUCCCGGGUUCAUGCCAUUCUCCUGCCUCAGCCUCCCAAGUAGCUGAGACUACAGGUGUCUGCCACCAGGCCAGGCUAAUUUUUUGUGUUUUUAGUAGAGAUGGGGUUUCACCAUGUUAGCCAGGAUGGUCUCGAUCUCCUGACCUCGUGAUCCACCCGCCUCAGCCUUUCAAAGUGCUGGGACUACAGGCGUGAGCCACCAUGCCUGGCCAAUAGCUUUUUUUUACUUUUAUUGUGGAAUAUUGGUUUUUCACUACAGGCUGAUAUUGGCUUCAAAUUGUACCCUCACAGAUUCUACAAACAGUGAAUUUUCAAGCUUCUGAAGCAAAAUAAAGGUUUAACCUUGUAAGAUGAAUCUGCACAUUAUUGCUGGAUAUUCGGUUUUUCACCGUAGGCAUCGAUUUUCUCUGAAAUGUCCUAUUGAAGAUUUUGCCAAAAGAGUGUUUCUACCCUGCUGAAUCAAAAGAAUGGUUUAAUUCUGUGAGAUGAAAUCACCCAUCGUAAAUUAUUUUCAGAGACAUCUUCAUAUAGUUUUUACCUCAGAAUAUUCGGUUUUUCACUAUAAGCCUCAAUGGGCUUUGAAAUGUCUCCCAUAAAUUGUACAAAAAAAAAAAGGAAUUUCCAACCUGUUGAAUCAAAACAAAUAUUUAAUGUUGUGAGAUAAAUUCAAAUAUCGCAAAGCAUUUUCACAGAUUUUUUUUCUACUUUUUAUCACGGAAUAUUUGGUUUUUCACUAUAGUCCUCAGUGGGCUCAGAAAUGCCCCUUGUAGAUUCUACAAAAAGAAUGUUUCUAACCUGCUGAACCAAAACAAUACUUUAACUCUUUGAGGUGAAUCCACACAUUGCAAACAUUUUCACAGAUAGCUUGUUUUUAGUUUUGAUCACGUAAUAUUGGAUGUUUUACAAUAGGCCUCAACGGGCUCAGAAUUGUCCCCUCUUAGAUUCUACUAAAAGAGUGUUUCCAAAAUGCUGUGUAAAAAUAAAGGCUUAACACUGUGAGAUGAAUCGA
ensembl:lncRNA LINC01733 long intergenic non-protein coding RNA 1733